rnacentral:rRNA from 1 species
AUGUCUGUCAUCAAAUUCCCCAAAUGGGCGAUCAAGGCCAUCACUUCACAGAUGGCUCAUUUCUUCUGGGGGAACCUGGGAGAUGAACAUAAGUAUCAUCUUGCUAGCUGGGGGCUAAUCUCUCAAAAAAAGGAUUUUGGUGGUCUAGGAGUACCCAAUUUAAGGGAAUUUAAGAUGGCUCUGCUAGCCUCUUGGGCAAAAAGGUACUUUAUGGACAGUGAUAAAAACUGGGUGAGGCUGGUUGGUCACAAAUAUAGAACUGACAAACCCAAUGUACUGUGGGCCAAACAGGGUGUGGGCUCUCCCUUUUGGAGGGGGGUUACCUGGGCUUUUGAAGGGAUUAGACCUUUCUACAAAUGGAAGUUGGGAAAUGGCGAUAAGAUCAGCUUUUGGAAUGACGUUUGGGUGGGGGAUUCUUCCCUAAAACCCCAAUUUUGGGAUGUCUAUGAAAUCUGCCAACAAUAG